rnacentral:rRNA from 1 species
AGAAUCAACGCUGGCGGCGUGCCUAACACAUGCAAGUCGCACGAGAAAGGGGAGCAAUCCAUGAGUAAAGUGGCGCACGGGUGAGUAACACGUGACUAACCUACCCUUGAGUGGGGGAUAACCUAGAGAAAUCUGGGCUAAUACCGCAUAAUACCUUCGGGUCAAAGGAGCAAUUCGCUUAAGGAGGGGGUCGCGGCCGAUUAGUUAGUUGGCGGGGUAAUGGCCCACCAAGACUAUGAUCGGUA